GAUGAACGCUGGCGGCGUGCUUAACACAUGCAAGUCGAACGAAGCACCUCUCCCGAAGAUUGACACAGCUUGCUGUAGAUUGAUUCAUUUGAGGUGACUGAGUGGCGGACGGGUGAGUAACGCGUGGGUAACCUGCCUCAUAGAGGGGGACAACAGUUGGAAACGACUGCUAAUACCGCAUAGUAAGAAGAAUUCGCAUGUUCUCUUCUUGAAAGAUUUAUCGCUAUGAGAUGGACCCGCGUCUGAUUAGCUAGUUGGUAAGGUAACGGCUUACCAAGGCGACGAUCAGUAGCCGGCUUGAGAGAGUGAACGGCCACAUUGGGACUGAGACACGGCCCAAACUCCUACGGGAGGCAGCAGUGGGGAAUAUUGCACAAUGGGGGAAACCCUGAUGCAGCGACGCCGCGUGAGUGAAGAAGUAUUUCGGUAUGUAAAGCUCUAUCAGCAGGGAAGAUAAUGACGGUACCUGACUAAGAAGCCCCGGCUAACUACGUG
rnacentral:rRNA from 1 species